rnacentral:piRNA from 1 species
UGUUGCCUUGGGGCUAUUCUUUGGCAAACCA